UUACACAUGCAAGUCGAACGAUGAACCUGGAGCUUGCUCUAGGGGAUUAGUGGCGAACGGGUGAGUAACACGUGAGUAACCUGCCCUUGACUCUGGGAUAACCUCCGGAAACGGAAGCUAAUACCGGAUAUGACGCACGGAGGCAUCUCCUGUGCGUGGAAAGAAUUUCGGUCAAGGAUGGACUCGCGGCCUAUCAGGUAGUUGGUGAGGUAACGGCCCACCAAGCCUACGACGGGUAGCCGGCCUGAGAGGGUGACCGGCCACACUGGGACUGAGACACGGCCCAGACUCCUACGGGAGGCAGCAGUGGGGAAUAUUGCACAAUGGGCGCAAGCCUGAUGCAGCAACGCCGCGUGAGGGACGACGGCCUUCGGGUUGUAAACCUCUUUUAGUAGGGAAGAAGCGAAAGUGACGGUACCUGCAGAAAAAGCACCGGCUAACUACGUGCCAGCAGCCGCGGUAAUACGUAGGGUGCAAGCGUUGUCCGGAAUUAUUGGGCGUAAAGAGCUCGUAGGCGGUUUGUCGCGUCUGCUGUGAAAACCCGAGGCUCAACCUCGGGCCUGCAGUGGGUACGGGCAGACUAGAGUGCGGUAGGGGAGAUUGGAAUUCCUGGUGUAGCGGUGGAAUGCGCAGAUAUCAGGAGGAACACCGAUGGCGAAGGCAGAUCUCUGGGCCGUAACUGACGCUGAGGAGCGAAAGCGUGGGGAGCGAACAGGAUUAGAUACCCUGGUAGUCCACGCCGUAAACGUUGGGAACUAGAUGUGGGGACCAUUCCACGGUCUCCGUGUCGCAGCUAACGCAUUAAGUUCCCCGCCUGGGGAGUACGGCCGCAAGGCUAAAACU
rnacentral:rRNA from 1 species